rnacentral:rRNA from 1 species
CGUGCUUAACACAUGCAAGUCGAACGGAAAGGCCCCUUCGGGGGUACUCGAGUGGCGAACGGGUGAGUAACACGUGGGCAAUCUGCCCUGCACUUCGGGAUAAGCCUGGGAAACUGGGUCUAAUACCGGAUAGGACCUUUAGACGCAUGUCUUUUGGUGGAAAGCUUUUGCGGUGUGGGAUGGGCCCGCGGCCUAUCAGCUUGUUGGUGGGGUGAUGGCCUACCAAGGCGACGACGGGUAGCCGGCCUGAGAGGGUGUCCGGCCACACUGGGACUGAGAUACGGCCCAGACUCCUACGGGAGGCAGCAGUGGGGAAUAUUGCACAAUGGGCGCAAGCCUGAUGCAGCGACGCCGCGUGGGGGAUGACGGCCUUCGGGUUGUAAACCUCUUUCACCAUCGACGAAGGUUCGGGUUUUCUCGGAUUGACGGUAGGUGGAGAAGAAGCACCGGCCAACUACGUGCCAGCAGCCGCGGUAAUACGUAGGGUGCGAGCGUUGUCCGGAAUUACUGGGCGUAAAGAGCUCGUAGGUGGUUUGUCGCGUUGUUCGUGAAAUCUCACGGCUUAACUGUGAGCGUGCGGGCGAUACGGGCAGACUAGAGUACUGCAGGGGAGACUGGAAUUCCUGGUGUAGCGGUGGAAUGCGCAGAUAUCAGGAGGAACACCGGUGGCGAAGGCGGGUCUCUGGGCAGUAACUGACGCUGAGGAGCGAAAGCGUGGGGAGCGAACAGGAUUAGAUACCCUGGUAGUCCACGCCGU